GUAAAUAAGAUCAUAACCCAGGAUACACGACACUUUGUUGUGCCACAGGUUGUAUGUCAUUAUCUGCUAUCACACAUAGUUUCUCUUGAAGAUUGUUUUGAGGUGAGUCUAAAUUUGGGGGGGGGGCAGACUUCGAGUUUCUUCCCCUCACUCUGCUGUUUCCUAUCUCCCAACUAUGCAGAGCACAGAAAAGAGUGACAGGGACUGAGAGCAUGGAAAGGAAAUUGGAAAGUGAUGCCAAAAAGCAGAUGAGUGUAGGGGAACAAUAGAUGUGUGAAACCCUUCAUGUCACCACCAAAGAGGUAAGUCUGAAGAAAUCCUCUCUUUUUUUGCCUUGUGUUAUGUAAUAGGCACCUCUUGUAAAAGUUAAGAAAUAUAAUUCUAAAUUCAUUCUGCAAGUUCUAGGAUGAGGUAGUAAAAUCCUAAGGGAAUAGAAUCCUAAGUGGGGUACAGAGACAAAUAGAGAAUUCUCAACAGAGGAAUCUAAAAUGGCUGAAAGACACAUAAGAAAGUGUUCAACAUCCUUAGCCAUCAGGGAAAUGCAAAUCAAAACAACUCUAAGAUACCAUCUUACACCUGUCAGAAU
rnacentral:lncRNA from 1 species